rnacentral:rRNA from 1 species
GUGUGGGGACCAUUCCACGGUUUCCGCGCCGCAGCUAACGCAUUAAGUGCCCCGCCUGGGGAGUACGGCCGCAAGGCUAAAACUCAAAGGAAUUGACGGGGGCCCGCACAAGCGGCGGAGCAUGCGGAUUAAUUCGAUGCAACGCGAAGAACCUUACCAAGGCUUGACAUGUUCUCGAUCGCCGUAGAGAUACGGUUUCCCCUUUGGGGCGGGAUCACAGGUGGUGCAUGGUUGUCGUCAGCUCGUGUCGUGAGAUGUUGGGUUAAGUCCCGCAACGAGCGCAACCCUCGUUCCAUGUUGCCAGCACGUAAUGGUGGGGACUCAUGGGAGACUGCCGGGGUCAACUCGGAGGAAGGUGGGGACGACGUCAAAUCAUCAUGCCCCUUAUGUCUUGGGCUUCACGCAUGCUACAAGGGCCGGUACAAUGGGUUGCGAUACUGUGAGGUGGAGCUAAUCCCAAAAAGCCGGUCUCAGUUCGGAUUGGGGUCUGCAACUCGACCCCAUGAAGUCGGAGUCGCUAGUAAUCGCAGAUCAGCAACGCUGCGGUGAAUACGUUCCCGGGCCUUGUACACACCGCCCGUCAAGUCACGAAAGUCGGUAACACCCGAAGCCGGUGGCCUAACCCUUGUGGGGGGAGCCGUCGAAGGUGGGGCUG